rnacentral:misc_RNA from 1 species
UCAAGGAGAUGUUUGGGCUUAGCAUUACACCUCCUCCGAGGAAGAGCAGGAGAUCUUUUGGCUGGAAGAACAGUAUGUCAUCCCUUCUCUGAGCUUUUUGAAAGUUCGGUAGCAAAAGAAGGAUAUAGGUGAAAUUAGCAAUAGUCUUAUGAUGAAUGUAAUUGGAUUGGAUACAUGUUGCCAAUUCACUGAUUUAGAGGAUAGUUUCUUUUAUUAGUUUGCUUAAAG